UACGGAGGGUGCAAGCGUUAUCCGGAUUCACUGGGUUUAAAGGGUGCGUAGGCGGAUCUUUAAGUCAGUGGUGAAAUCCUCCCGCUUAACGGGAGAACUGCCAUUGAUACUAUUGAUCUUGAAUACAGUUGAGGUGGGCGGAAUGUGUCGUGUAGCGGUGAAAUGCUUAGAUAUGACACAGAACACCGAUUGCGAAGGCAGCUCGCUAAACUGUGAUUGACGCUGAGGCACGAAAGCGUGGGGAUCAAACAGG
rnacentral:rRNA from 1 species